AAUGAGACGGAAUCCACAGCAGGACACACGGAACAGAACAGAAGGUGAAAAACAUGAACUUCUGACUUCAAUGCUCCAACUCGCACAAAUUCGAGGAAAAACCCGAACCCUUGACCCCUACAAUGAGGUGAUGCAGUGGCUGUGCGGGCAUCGUGUCGGCAUUGUUUCCUUUCACUCGAGGAAUGCGGAUCAAUACAAAGCUGUUCUGAGUAAUCACCUUUCUCCUAUGAUGAAGCAUUUCCAGUCUCCUCCAAGAUGACAAAGCCUCCAGCCACGGGACACGAGGGGUCACUGAAUGAAGAAUGUGAAUAGUAAACUGUGGCCUUUGCAGCUAUCAGAAGCUCUAAACCCAAUUCAACACCUAUGGGAAUGUUUGAACCAACGUGUUAAGACAGCAGCCUCCACCACAAUGCUCAAGACACCAAAUUAAGGUGCAUUUUUUGGAUAGAAAUAUGUUCCAGAGACUUGGAGAAUCAAUGCCAACAAAGACACUUUAUCCUUUCAUUUGUCACCUGUCUGUAUCUCAUUGUCCUGCAUGUUUAGGGGCCAAUUUGUAGCUUGGAAAAUCCAAACUGAAUCUCCAUGUUAGGAGAUACAGGAGAGUCAGUUUGGUAUUGUGCAAAUUGAAUCGCGUUUCCCUCCUGGGACAGUUUGGUACGACCAAUCAUAGCACGGGAGGCGGGAGUUAAUGCUGCGUCAUCUUCAGCGCCUGGAUUACCCAUAAAGAUGAUGCGGAGGAGGAGGAGGAGGAGGGGGGCCAAAGCGAAUCUUUUUGUGGUCUCUUGACGUUUUGGAUGGCGUUAGUCGUUGCCUCUUUUCACUUGACGUUUCCGAUGAUGAGGAGGCAGUGGAUGGCUCGUUACUUUCGCCUUCUUGCCAUUGUUUGUACAGAGGAAAAUCCCGUUCCAAACGUCAAUUAGAAAAAUGUCAAUCACCUGUGAGCACCUGUUCAGAAACGCAGAAGAGGACGACGAUGUGAAAGACAGAUUGCAGAACAAACAUGGCUUCAGAGACGGUUUCAGAUUACACGGAGGACACAGAGACUGUGGAUGCUGUUUCAGAUGGCAAACAGCAAGAGAAGAACACGGAAGACAGACUGGAAACUCUGUCUGAGAAGAUAAAUCUGUGCAACGCAGUCCUGAAUGACUUGAAGGACCUGACUGAUGUUCUAAAGAACAAAUCUCUUCAAGAUGUGUCCUUUCCCCUGCAGAAGUGAACCAAAGAUUGCAAACUCCAUUUUCCUACUUGGUGUAAUUAAAUACCUUUAAAUGCA